rnacentral:rRNA from 1 species
AAUACAACUUUCAACAACGGAUCUCUUGGCUCUCGCAUCGAUGAAGAACGCAGCGAAAUGCGAUAAGUAAUGUGAAUUGCAGAAUUCAGUGAAUCAUCGAAUCUUUGAACGCACCUUGCGCCCUUUGGUAUUCCGAAGGGCACACCUGUUUGAGUGUC